AAAAUGACUCUCGGCAACGGAUAUCUCGGCUCUCGCAUCGAUGAAGAACGUAGGGAAAUGCGAUACUUGGUGUGAAUUGCAGAAUCCCGUGAACCAUCGAGUCUUUGAACGCAAGUUGCGCCCAAAGCCUUUUGGUUGAGGGCACGUCUGCCUGGGU
rnacentral:rRNA from 1 species